rnacentral:rRNA from 1 species
UACGGGGGGGGGUAAGCGUUGUUCGGAAUUACUGGGCGUAAAGGGCUCGUAGGCGGCCAACUAAGUCAGACGUGAAAUCCCUCAGCCUAACUGGGGAACUGCGUCUGAUACUGGAUGGCUUGGAUUUGGGAGAGGGAUGCGGAAUUCCAGGUGUAGCGGUGAAAUGCGUAGAUAUCUGGAGGAACACCGGUGGCGAAGGCGGCAUCCUGGACCAAUAUUGACGCUGAGGAGCGAAAGCCAGGGGGAGCAAACGGG